ACCUGACUGGUUCAGUCAGUAGAGCAUGUGACUCUCGGUCUCAGGGUUGUGAGUUCAAGCCCCAUGUUGGGUA
rnacentral:tRNA from 1 species